rnacentral:rRNA from 1 species
GGAUUAGAUACCCUGGUAGUCCACGCCGUAAACGAUGAGUGCUAGAUGUCGGGGCUCUUAGAGCUUCGGUGUCGCAGCUAACGCAUUAAGCACUCCGCCUGGGGAGUACGGUCGCAAGAUUAAAACUCAAAGGAAUUGACGGGGGCCUGCACAAGCGGUGGAGCAUGUGGUUUAAUUCGAAGCAACGCGCAGAACCUUACCAGCCCUUGACAUCCUGGUCGCGAGGAGUGGAGACACACCUUUUCAGUUCGGCUGGACCAGUGACAGGUGCUGCAUGGCUGUCGUCAGCUCGUGCCG